AGUCUCUUCGGGGAUGAUUAAACCGGCGCACGGGUGAGUAACACGUGAGUGACCUGCCUUUUAGACUGGAACAACUUACCGAAAGGUGAGCUAAUGCCGGAUGAGUUAUAUAAGUGCAUGUUUAUAUAGGAAAAGUUGGGGAGACCUGACGCUGAAAGAUGGACUCGCGUCCCAUUAGCUAGUUGGUAGGGUAAUGGCCUAUCAAGGCGACGAUGGGUAGCCGGCCUGAGAGGGUGGCCGGCCACACUGGGACUGAGACACGGCCCAGACUCCUACGGGAGGCAGCAGUGGGGAAUUUUGCGCAAUGCUCGUAAGAGUGACGCAGCGACGCCGCGUGAAUGACGAAGGCCUUCGGGUCGUAAAGUUCUUUCGACAGGGAAGAAAAUGCCUAUAAGUAACUGUGUAUGUAUUGACGGUACCUGUAUAAGCAGCCCCGGCUAACUCCGUGCCAGCAGCCGCGGUAAUACGGAGGGGGCGAGCGUUGUUCGGAGUGACUGGGCGUAAAGAGCACGUAGGCGGUGUUGUAAGUCAUUAGUCAAAGACUAGAGCUCAACUUUAGUAAGGCUAGUGAUACUAUAAUACUAGAGUAUCAGAGAGGAUUGCAGAAUUCCUGGUGUAGCGGUGAAAUGCGUAGAUAUCAGGAGGAAUACCGUUAGCGAAGGCGGCAAUCUGGCUGGAAACUGACGCUGAGGUGCGAAAGCGUGGGUAGCAAACAGGAUUAGAUACCCUGGUAGUCCACGCUGUAAACGAUGGAUGCU
rnacentral:rRNA from 1 species